AUGGGUCGUCUCAAGGCAAGGGCACGGGAAGCCUCUGAAAGCAAUCAAAAGAAUGAACAUCGCUCCAUAUGCUUACACUCUUUUUCUGAUCUGUCACAUGUUUCUGCAGCUACUUUUAUGUAUCUUUUGAAGGACUGCUACUUCUAUGGAACCCACAAAGCAACCGCAAAGUUCAGGAUCCUUCAGCAGCAGGUUAAAAGAGCAUUAAAUAAUGCUCCUCAGCCAGGCCCAUUCACAUACAUUGUCCAAUGCAUGUACAUUAUACCUUUGUUGGGCCAAAGUCAUGCUGAAGGGUUCAGCCAUAUGUUGAUAUCUUCUCUAAGGCAUUUGAAAUCCGUGGAGUCAGUACAGAAGGAUUUUAUUGAUGCAAAGUGUCUUGCUGCACGGCUUGUUCUUGAUAUCCUUGCUUCUGUUGUACCCCAUGAAGAACGCAUACUGGUAAAGCUCCUUGAGACAUUCGAUAUUGAGUUGAAAGAUAUGGCCCAUGCUUUCCGUGGUUCAGAGUUGGGUGAUGAAGAUCUAGCGGCAGCAAGAGAACAUCUUAAACAGCAUGUGCAGUACUUUAUGAAAUCAGAAUCAUAUGUGACUGCUGUGGCCCUGAUGACACGCUUUUCCAUCCAAUGCUGUGAUGAGUCAUUUCUCAUGAAACUGAUUGGAAGUAAGCAAUACAAGGCAGCAGAGGAGUGGGCAGCUUUCAUGGGGAAAGAAAUGAUAAUUUUGAUAAUUCAAAAGUAUCUAGAUGUUAAAAUGCUAAAGAGCGCGAAUGAGCUGGUAAAACAAUAUGACCUUGCAGAAGAGUUUCCGGAUGUUAAUUAUUUGUAUAAAGAGAGUUUGCUAAAGAAGCUGGCAGAGAAAGGGUGCUGGGAUGUUGCAGAAGUCCGUGCCAAGAAGGAUACAAAGCUGAUGGAAUACCUGGUAUAUCUUGCUAUGGAAGCUGGCUAUAUGGAGAAGGUUGAUGAGCUUUGCGAACGGUACUCUCUUGAAGGUUAUGUCAAUUCUUUGGUUCCAGAAGAAGUCAUGUGUCAGUCUGACUACUUAGAGCUGAAGAAAUUGAUUUUAGAAGAGAUUGUCUGGGUUGAUGAGAUCAACGGAUUACUUAGUGCAACAACUUAUAUUGAAGCUUGUAAAAUUAUCGGUGUGGAUUGCGAAUGGAAACCUAAUUACGAGAAAGGCAGCAGACCUAAUAAGGUUGCUAUCAUCCAAAUUGCGUCAGAUAAGAAAGCUUUCAUCUUUGAUCUGAUUAAGCUGUAUGAAGAUGAUCCUAAAGCAUUGGACUGCUGCUUCAGGCGAAUCAUGUGUUCAUCUAACAUAUUAAAGCUGGGCUAUAACCUGCAAUGCGAUCUGCAUCAGCUGUCACAGUCGUAUGGAGAAUUGUUAUGUUUCCAGUCCUAUGAAAUGCUACUUGAUAUCCAGAAGCUGUUCAAAGAGACUACUGGUGGUCUCUCUGGAUUGUCAAAGAAAAUAUUAGGAGCUGGUUUGAACAAGACACGGCGGAAUAGCGACUGGGAGCAGCGACCUCUCAGCCAGAAUCAGAAAGAGUAUGCCGCUCUUGAUGCCGCGGUCCUUGUUCAUAUAUUCCAUCAUGUCAGGGGGCAACCUCAGUUUGGUGUAAACGAGGGACGCCAGGUGGAAUGGAAGUCUCAUAUUGUUUCCCGAGUAAAUCGUGCACGUAGUCCCUUGCGGUUCUAA
rnacentral:rRNA from 1 species